rnacentral:rRNA from 1 species
UACGGAGGGGGCUAGCGUUGUUCGGAAUUACUGGGCGUAAAGCGCACGUAGGCGGCUUUGCAAGUUAGAGGUGAAAGCCCGGGGCUCAACUCCGGAAUUGCCUUUAAAACUGCAUCGCUAGAAUUGUGGAGAGGUAAGUGGAAUUCCGAGUGUAGAGGUGAAAUUCGUAGAUAUUCGCAAGAACACCAGUGGCGAAGGCGGCUCACUGGCCCGAUACUGACGCUGAGGUGCGAAAGCGUGGGGAGCAAACAGG